GGGGGGGUGGGCUCUGGCAAACGCGGCCGCGCUCCAGCCCGCGGUGCGGCGGUGCCCGCUCCCCCUCUCCUCUCCGGACGCACAGGUCUCCUCCUUAACCAGGAAGUGGGUCCAUGCGGGGCAGGCUCCGGUGAACGCGGCCGUGCGCGCGCGAGCUCUGGCGAACGCGGCGGCGCCCGCAUCCCUCGCCUCUCCGGUCGCACGUCUCCUCCCUUGCUAUGAAGUGGGCGCACGCGGGGUGGGCUCUCUGCCAACCGUGCCAGGAGCUCUGCUUCUGCAAUGGUGGCAUCUACAUCAAGCUUGGUUAGCACAUCGCACAACUGGUGUAUGUGCAGAUGAUGAGGGCUUCAAUGCUCAAGAGGUGCCCAGUUUCCUCAUACAAAAACGUCUGCGGAGUCUUGAAGAAAGAGAUUGGAUAAUUGCCACAAACUGUUCAACACGACCACUUGGUGGAUACUUCUGUAAUUGAUAUCGCCGCUGUGGAUUUAGUAGUGCUCUUCAUUAUAUUUCCCUGCAUUUGACUACAGGUCAAGGACUUUCCAUGCUCUCAGACAAUGGCAUUCUUUAUCCAACGAUGAUGUGAUUUUAUCCAUCUGAAGAUUGUGUUAUCAUUUGUUUAAAUUCGAGUGAUAUUACACAUGUAGCUUGCUGGGUAUAUUUUACCAUAGUUACUUAUGGAAAAUUCUUAGAGGUUAUACAUGGGACAGCAGACAGCAUGGCAGAUACAUCGCAGCUGGGCACCA